rnacentral:rRNA from 1 species
GAUGAACGCUGGCGGCGUGCCUAAUACAUGCAAGUCGAACGAAGUACUUCGGUACUUAGUGGCGAACGGGUGAGUAAUACGUAAGCAACCUGCCUAUGGGACUGGGAUAACGUUUGGAAACGGACGCUAAUACCGGAUAGGUAGAGGAGAGGCAUCUCUUCUCUAUUAAAGUUUAGAUACACCGAUAGAUGGGCUCGCGUACGAUUAGAUAGUUGGUGAGGUAACGGCUCACCAAGUCGACGAUCGUUAGCCGGACUGAGAGGUUGAACGGCCACAUUGGGACUGAGACACGGCCCAGACUCCUACGGGAGGCAGCAGUGAGGAAUAUUGGGCAAUGGGCGCAAGCCUGACCCAGCAAUGCCGCGUGAAGGAAGACGGUUUUCGGAUUGUAAACUUCUUUAAGAGGGACGAUAAUGACGGUACCUCUUGAAUAAGCCACGGCUAACUACGUG